CGUGUUUUGCAGUCAGCAGUGCUUUGGGCUUUUGCCUGUAGUUGUGGAAAGUUUGAGCAAAAAUAUCCCAGUGGGAGUUAUUUCAGUUUUUGGUACACAUUUUGGUGUCAGCAAGGAACUGAGGUCUUCGAGAUGUUGUUUCUCACCAUUUUGCAAGUCUACACUUCAUUUAAUAGCUGUCUGAAUCGACUCCAUGAAAGCUUUUAUUGCUGUUAUUGUCCUGUCCUCCUUCACUAGCACAGGCUAUUCCUUUCUGAGUUUGCAAACGGGACAAAAGGAAGACUGGCUCCCAGGUUCUUUUAAAUCCAAAGGUGCACUUUGCAACUCUAAUUACUUUAGGUUGGUUUCUAUUCAUUCCAUUUUGCAUUCGAGGAGGGGCAGGCUCACAACAAAAGCCACGUUAUCAGCUCUGCUGAUCUCUGUGCUUUGCACCGGGUUGGUUUUCUUUUUCCCCCUCAAAACAGCUGGGCUACUGCAAGGCAAACGGUUGCAGACUGCAAACUCCUGAACUGGAGGCUAAAAUCCCUCGUGUCCUGCAGAAGCAACAGAGCAUUUUAUUGCGAGGCGUAACAGUGAUUAUUUGGGGGCCAGGGCUGUGCUUGCUGGCAGCUCCCAGGACAGAUUUGUGUCUCCACUGAGUUUUGUGCAAGACUGGCCAAGUUUCGUGUCCCCAGCGAACCUGAAAUGUGUGUUGUUUUCUGUUUUACACAGCUCCCAAGGGCAGGGAGAGGAAUUAAACCCAUCCAGAGUGAGGCCCUUUUGCUCUCAGUGAAGGAGGAUCUGGCAUGGAGGUGCUAAUGUGCCUAAUAAAGCCAUCACGGUGGGAAAGUGUCAGGAGUCUCUUUUCCAAUGGAGCCCAUAUAGAUACCAGUCCUCCACAACUGUUUUGGGCUAUAAAAACUAUCAAAGAAAAGGAUCUUUGCAUUGAAUUCACUUCCCAAAUGGAUAUCCUCCAUGGUUGACCUCCGUGGCGCCUCAGGAGCUGGGCUUGGAGCAUCAGUGGCUGCUCAGAGAGACAGUGCCUGAGCGGAAGGAUGGCACACUGUCAUGCAAAGCAACCACCACUUUAGAAUGUGAUAUGGAGACAGAAAAUGGAAGAAGAGAUGGUUUUCCUUGGGAGAUAGGACCAGGAGAUCUCGGUUUCUGGCCUGGCAGGUGAUUACCAACCCCAGAAGAUUCUGCAAAACGAAGCGCCCUCAAUAGCCGCCUGCCAUCGAGUGGCACCACAAACCCUCCUUCUCUUCCAAGGAGAUAAAACCAGUCUGCAGACACCGUACGUUUAAUCUGAUUUAGAUACAGCUGGUGUGCUGGGAGCUGAAGCAGCUUCGUAAGAUUCAGCAUGCAUUUGAAUAUACACCGUGAGCAACAUAUUCCCAGACCUGGCCAGCUUGGGAGAGCAUUUCAUAAGGGUACCUGGUAGCCAGAAAUACAGUCCAGAACAACGAGGACCCAGACCCAAUUGCCAUGUCUAAAAUCUGAACGUGACUUGGCCUCAUCUGGGUUUGAACACUGAACUAACAAAGCGCACGGGAUCUGGCCGGUGUCUGACAGCCAGAGCUUCUGGGUUUCCAACAGCCAACUCCAUUCGGAGAGAAAAAAGAAUAAUAAAGCAUCAGGCUAAGGCUGAGGCA